UGGGGGGUCGUCUAAUGGUCGGACUGUGCCCUUUGAAGGCAUCUAUCCUGGUUCGAGUCCAGGCCCCCCAG
rnacentral:tRNA from 1 species